rnacentral:rRNA from 1 species
UACGGAGAGGGCGAGCGUUACUCGGAAUCACUGGGCGUAAAGCGUGCGCAGGCGGCCCGUUAAGACAGGUGUGAAAUCCCUGGGCUCAACCUAGGAAUUGCGCUUGUGACUGGCGGGCUCGAGUACGGUAGAGGGGGGUGGAAUUCCUGGUGUAGCAGUGAAAUGCGUAGAGAUCAGGAGGAACACCGAUGGCGAAGGCAGCCCCCUGGGCCUGUACUGACGCUCAUGCACGAAAGCGUGGGGAGCAAACAGG